AUUGAACGCUGGCGGCAUGCCUUACACAUGCAAGUCGAACGGCAGCACGGGAGCAAUCCUGGUGGCGAGUGGCGAACGGGUGAGUAAUAUAUCGGAACGUGCCCAGUCGUGGGGGAUAACGUAGCGAAAGCUACGCUAAUACCGCAUACUAUCUAUGGAUGAAAGCGGGGGAUCGCAAGACCUCGCGCGAUUGGAGCGGCCGAUAUCAGAUUAGGUAGUUGGUGAGGUAAAGGCUCACCAAGCCGACGAUCUGUAGCUGGUCUGAGAGGACGACCAGCCACACUGGGACUGAGACACGGCCCAGACUCCUACGGGAGGCAGCAGUGGGAAUUUUGGACAAUGGGCGCAACCCUGAUCCAGCAAUGCCGCGUGAGUGAAGAAGGCCUUCGGGUUGUAAAGCUCUUUUGUCAGGGAAGAAACGGUGAGUUCUAAUAAAGCUUGCUAAUGACGGUACCUGAAGAAUAAGCACCGGCUAACUACGUG
rnacentral:rRNA from 1 species